ACUCUUCCAUAAUAACCAAUGUGAUAAAAACAUUUUUUCAGGGAAACAAAUUUCAGUUUUAGCCUUCCAAAUGACUAUUACGAAAAUUAACAACUAAUAAAAAAUUGAAAUACUAAAAGACAUCAUGUAUCCUCUCAAACUAUUUAUUUAUUGUACUCAUACAUAUUCUUAAGUGCAAUAAAAUCUGCCUAGAAAUCAUUAAUCCACUAGUAUAUAGUCCUUACUUGGUGCUGGCAACUGAAAAUUUGGUCUUUUUAUAUACAAAUUGUUACACGCAUGAAAAGUAGUCCAAUAAUGGCACUUUUUAUAGGUUAUUUCAUAAGUACUCUUGGUUGGACAUAUGCUAAAGUAUUGUUACAGGUUGCUGAGGCAACCCGCCUGCUACAGUUGUGGUUAACUCUAAAAUUUACUGAUAAUGCUGACCUGAGACUUGAGUCUUAUCUUCACUGAAUGCAGUACAGGUGUAUUGUAGGUAGGCUGUAGGAGGACCAUAGCUACCUCUAAAUCUUUACAGAAGAUUUUGAAUGUGGCUUUUGUUGCAUAGAAAAUAAAUAAAAUAAAAUAAAUCUCUACAGAAGACUGGCAAGAGAUUGGUGCAUAUUUAAUAGCAAACAGUGGGAUGCUUUGAAAGGGAUGGAUAACAUAGAACAUUGAACAGCAAGAGCUUUAGUGGGGUUUAGGUUUUAGUAGUUGUCCAGCCAAGACUCUGCCUGUUACUGAAGCUAGGGAUAUGUGGAGUGACCAAUUUACAUCAGUCAUAGUAGAGAAGUAAUUGCUUUUAUCUGACAAAAGCAGUCUGGACCCAGUCAACAACAUGCUGAUGCUACAGUCCCUAUUCUUGAUGUUUUAUUGGAAAGUGGUAAGACUUCUUUUUCUCUCUGAGCUGGUACCACCAAUUUGCAGUGGUAUGUUCUAGAAGCAAAUCAUAUUUCAGAGCUCUUUGGUUGUGUAAUUUUUUUCAAUAGGCAUGAUGAGUAUUCUGGAAGCUGUAUCAUGGUGCCUUUUGCUUGGCUGUGUGUCAUUACUAUAAUGCAUAGGUUUUUUACUUGUUUGUGUGAUUGUUUUUAUUCCAAAGACUGCCAUCCAGGGCCAUGCAGCAAACAAGCAACAGGGAAAUAUCCCACUAUGCAAUCCUAUUUUGAGAUGAUAUUUAGGAUGAGAGAACAUGCAUUAGUUACCUACCAGCUUGACAGGAAUGGAUUUCCAAAUCUGACACACCAUAGCCUGAAUUCUCACCAGUUUGCUCCUGGAAAGGCCCGCUCAUGGUAAGCUCCUUAGAGUUUGUUAGUAGUGGGGAAGCCUUGAGUUUCAGGAGAACGUGUUUGGAUGGCAUUUUAAGAAGCCAUUCCAUUUUUGGUAGAGUAGAAAAAGUCUGCAUCUGAGUCUGUAGUACAGUCUGUUCUCUGGAUGAACACAAUGUCUCUCUCACAUUUUUCUGAUAUUUAUUCUGCAAAUCAGCAGCAUGAGCCCCUGCCACUCUUCUAAAUAAGCUUCCAGGCAUUACCUGCAUGCUGUGUUCCUGUGGUGGGAUGGCAGUAAUCUCUGCUAAGAUAAACGGGAGCUUCUGUGGAUAAAGCAUAAACGCAGUGAAGUGUGUGUGGCUGGAAGAUUUAAUGCCUCUACAGUGCUUAGAUACAAGUUGAGCUUGGAAUUCCAGA
rnacentral:lncRNA from 1 species